rnacentral:rRNA from 2 species
GGGUAGCAUGUGGUUUAAUUCGAAGCAACGCGAAGAACCUUACCAGGGCUUGACAUGCCGCUGACCGGUGCAGAGAUGCAUCUUUAUCCUUCGGGGUACAGCGGACACAGGUGGUGCAUGGUUGUCGUCAGCUCGUGUCGUGAGAUGUUGGGUUAAGUCCCGCAACGAGCGCAACCCUUGUCUUUAGUUGCCAUCAUUAAGUUGGGCACUCUAAAGAGACUGCCGAUGACAAAUCGGAGGAAGGUGGGGAUGACGUCAAAUCAUCAUGCCCUUUAUGUACUGGGCUACACACGUGCUACAAUGGUCGGUACAACGAGAAGCAAGCCAGCGAUGGCAAGCAAAUCUCUAAAAGCCGAUCCCAGUUCGGAUUGCAGGCUGCAACUCGCCUGCAUGGAGUCGGAGUUGCUAGUAAUCGCGGAUCAGAAUGCCGCGGUGAAUGCGUUCCCGGGUCUU